CUAUCAAAGACCUUAAAGAGGCCUUGACUCAGCUUCGAGGGAACCAGUUGAUAGACUACAAGAUCCUGGGGCUGCAGUUCAAGCUGUUUGCCUGUGAGGUGUUAUAUAAUAUCGCUUUUAUGCAUGCCAAGAAAGAGGAAUGGAAAAAGGCAGAAGAGCAGUUAGCAUUGGCAACAAACAUGAAGUCUGAACCCAGGCAUUCCAAAAUUGACAAGGCCAUGGAAAGCAUCUGGAAGCAGAAACUGUUUGAGCCCGUUGUGAUCCCUGUGGGUAGGCUGUUCCGGCCAAAUGAGAG
rnacentral:lncRNA from 1 species